GGAGUUAGCCGGUGCUUCUUCUGUGAGUGAUGUCCUUCCUGCCGGUUAUUGACCCGCAGGCCUUCUUCCUCACUGAAAGUGCUUUACAACCCGAAGGCCUUCUUCACACACGCGGCAUGGCUGGAUCAGGGUUGCCCCCAUUGUCCAAUAUUCCCCACUGCUGCCUCCCGUAGGAGUCUGGGCCGUGUCUCAGUCCCAGUGUGGCUGAUCAUCCUCUCAGACCAGCUACGGAUCGUCGCCUUGGUGAGCCGUUACCUCACCAACCAGCUAAUCCGACAUAGGCUCAUCCGAUAGCGCGAGGCCCGAAGGUCCCCCGCUUUCCCCCGUAGGGCGUAUGCGGUAUUAGCCUGGGUUUCCCCAGGUUAUCCCCCACUACCGGGGCAGAUUCCUAUGCAUUACUCACCCGUCCGCCGCUCGCCACCAGGGAGCAAGCUCCCCGUGCUGCCGCUCGACUUGCAUGUGUAGGCUGCCGCCACGCGUCAUCUGAGCGAGAUACAACUACUGA
rnacentral:rRNA from 1 species